GGUUUUCUACCUUAGGCAUCUGAUUGAGGGUAUUCUCCGGCUACUGAGGCAGGUUUGGCUCAUACACAGAACUGUCUGGAAAAGGACCAAAGUCCCAAGAGUGACCAUCAGCCUAAGAAAGAAAAGUAUCCCAACUUCUUCCUAUGUAUGAAGUUCCCCACAAUGCUAACCAACCUCAUUCAGCACAAUGAUAACCAACUUUCAACAUACAUGCCUUCACCCCUGAACGGGACAAUUGUAAGGUACUUUUUACAGUGUCUCGGAGAUUCAGAGUAGACUUGAGCCCUUGUUCUCCACAAUGGUAACCAACUUAUUAACAUAUAUUUUAUUAUUUUUCCCUCCUCUAAUUUAUUUCCUCACUCACUGACUUGCUUCCUGAGAUCACCUACCAAAUAAAUAUUUUUAUUUGAAUUAUUGGUUCAAUUUUGGUUAUUGCAGUAACCCAAAAUGUUCUAGAAAGCAAACCUUCAUGAUGAGAUACUCUAACUAGGUUACUUGCCAGUCAGAUGGCAAAGGGUUUUCAUUGCUACAAUAAAUGGGAUGGUAAUGAACACUUUUAUGCUUCAGUAUCGCUUUACUGAGACUCUCACCUAUGGUGGACUCAGAGGAAGCACAGGUAAAAGAGAAAACACUGACAUAUACAUAUUUAUAUAUAUAUAUAUAUAUAAUAUAUAUGCAUUCUACAGAAGUUCUACAAUUUGCACACACACACGUGUGUGUAAGUCUGUGAGAAGUGAUGUUGGCUGGGUUUUUCAACUACAGUGGAAGGAUGAAAACAAACAAAAAACAGGCUCAUGUCACCCAAAUAUUAGCUUAGGGCCUGCUAUGAAAGAAGAAGGCCUCUACUGUGUCUUUAAAGAGACUCUUACCUCCUGCAGCCAGAAGGCAGAAUAUGCUGAAAAUCAGGAUUAAUAUUUGUUUGUAAGGAUGCUAGGAGUUAAGAAGCAGCUGAAUUAAUAGCCAUUGCAAGUCUUCUAUGUCAAAAAUAGAGACGAAUCUCAGAGGGAGAUAUCUGAGCUCCUAGAUUGCUCUGAGUGCUAUGGGCCAGCAGAAGAAGACCCCUCUCCCUUGCUAGAGAAGAGCAGAUUCCGUAAUUUCAAAACCACAGAAAGCUGAUGAUUCACAAGAUGAGUUUGUUCUCCUCAAUACAAAACAAUUAAAUAAAAUUCAAUGAUACAGUAAAUUCAAUGUCUCACCUUAUUGAUUAUAUCUAGGUUCCUGGAGCCAGUC
rnacentral:lncRNA from 1 species